GUCCCCUUCGUCUAGAGGCCUAGGACACUGCCCUUUCACGGCGGCAACACGGGUUCGAAUCCCGUAGGGGACGCCA
rnacentral:tRNA from 2 species